GGGACAGAAAAUCAGCCGGCGGCCCGGGCAGCCCCCUCUGAAUCACGGCAGCGAAAGAGUCAGGAGUCAAAGGCAACGAACCCCACUGGAAAAUGUUAUUUACACUAUCCCAAGGGACUACCAGGCAUGACUGCAUCAGAGCACACACUUGAAAAUGGAGAUGAUGAAGCUGCACAAGGAAUGCCACAGUGCAGAAAGGUGAAAGAAAUGUGGCCAAGUGAAGCACAAAGAGAGAGAGACAGCCUAUGGGGUCGAAGCCGAGCCUGAAGGAAACAGCUUCAGCAGCUUACCAGCGAAAAAGUACAG